AAUUUAUUAACAACUUUUAGUCAAACGGACGGACAAGUUUUUUUGAAGGAAACAAACAAGUUAUUUCGGAUCAACAGCAAUAUGCCACGCAAGUGCAUCAGAAGUUGCAAAGGCUCGUUACGACUUCAUAAAUUUCCGGGAGUGCGGAAAAUGCCCAG